AGAGUUUGAUCCUGGCUCAGAACGAACGCUGGCGGCAGGCUUAACACAUGCAAGUCGAACGCCCCGCAAGGGGAGUGGCAGACGGGUGAGUAACGCGUGGGAACGUGCCCUUCGGUUCGGAAUAACUCAGGGAAACUUGAGCUAAUACCGGAUACGUGCGAGAGCAGAAAGAUUUAUCGCCGAAGGAUCGGCCCGCGUCCGAUUAGCUAGUUGGUGAGGUAAUGGCUCACCAAGGCGACGAUCGGUAGCUGGUCUGAGAGGAUGAUCAGCCACAUUGGGACUGAGACACGGCCCAAACUCCUACGGGAGGCAGCAGUGGGGAAUAUUGGACAAUGGGCGCAAGCCUGAUCCAGCCAUGCCGCGUGAGUGAUGAAGGCCUUAGGGUUGUAAAGCUCUUUCGCCAGGGACGAUAAUGACGGUACCUGGAUAAGAAGCCCCGGCUAACUUCGUGCCAGCAGCCGCGGUAAUACGAAGGGGGCUAGCGUUGUUCGGAUUUACUGGGCGUAAAGCGCACGUAGGCGGAUUUUUAAGUCAGGGGUGAAAUCCCGAGGCUCAACCUCGGAACUGCCCUUGAUACUGGAAGUCUCGAGUCCGGGAGAGGUGAGUGGAACUGCGAGUGUAGAGGUGAAAUUCGUAGAUAUUCGCAAGAACACCAGUGGCGAAGGCGGCUCACUGGCCCGGUACUGACGCUGAGGUGCGAAAGCGUGGGGAGCAAACAGGAUUAGAUACCCUGGUAGUCUACGCCGUAAACGAUGGAUGCUAGCCGUUGGGGAGCUUGCUCUUCAGUGGCGCAGCUAACGCUUUAAGCAUCCCGC
rnacentral:rRNA from 1 species